rnacentral:rRNA from 1 species
GAUGAACGCUAGCUACAGGCUUAACACAUGCAAGUCGCGGGGCAGCAUGGGGGUUGCUUGCAACUCCCGAUGGCGACCGGCGCACGGGUGAGUAACGCGUAUCCAACCUGCCCUUCACCACGGGAUAACCCGGCGAAAGUCGGACUAAUACCGUAUGUUGUCCAUUGACGGCAUCCGAUUUGGACGAAAGGCUUUGCGGUGAAGGAUGGGGAUGCGUCCGAUUAGCCAGACGGCGGGGUAACGGCCACCGUGGCUACGAUCGGUAGGGGUUCUGAGAGGAAGGUCCCCCACACUGGAACUGAGACACGGUCCAGACUCCUACGGGAGGCAGCAGUGAGGAAUAUUGGUCAAUGGGCGUAAGCCUGAACCAGCCAAGUAGCGUGCAGGAUGACGGCCCUAUGGGUUGUAAACUGCUUUUAUGCGGGGAUAAAGUGGCCCACGUGUGGGCUUUUGCAGGUACCGCAUGAAUAAGGACCGGCUAAUUCCGUG